AAUCCCUGUGAUAAUCAGGAUCUGUGGCAGGACACAGUGCUCAUAGACCUGCCUUCUGAGAAAGCUCCAGAGAUCCUGACGAUAGAGGCACGCGUGUCCAGUGCCCAUUUCUGGCAGGUGAAUGGCCAUCCUGCCUGGAUUCCUGUCAGCUAAUGUCCAGGAGACAACAGGUCCUACUCCAGCUGAGUGGCCAGCGAUCUCCAGAUCCCAGGAUAAACUGGAGAGAGAUCAGGAGUCUCUGGGAUCUGCUGUUUCCAGGAACUUUGUUGUACCCUGGACAAUAAAAGCGAGUUCAUCAACAUUGGUUACUGCACACCACACAGAAAUCAUUGGCAUCUGUAAGGGAUGUAAGAAGAACCUCCAUGAGGUCCAGGUGGGGAACAGGACUCUAGGAGUCUUUAAUCUUGACCACCAUCACCUCAGUGAGCAAGGACUUACACAGGUUGUUUCCUGGACAGUAAAAUGGACCCUAUCAAGCAGGUCGGGGUACACCACACAGAAAUCACCAGCAUCUGUAAGGGGUGUAAGAAGAACAUCCAUGAAGUCCAGGUGGGGAAAAGGACUCUGGAGUCUCUAAUCUUGACCACCGACAC